rnacentral:piRNA from 1 species
UGUGACACCAUGAGCCAGCUGUAUUUGAC